rnacentral:rRNA from 1 species
CCUACGGGGGGCAGCAGUGAGGAAUAUUGGUCAAUGGGCGGGAGCCUGAACCAGCCAAGCCGCGUGAAGGAAGAAGGCGCCAGGCGUCGUAAACUUCUUUUGUCGGGGAACAAAGGGCGCCACGCGUGGCGUUGUGAGUGUACCCGAAGAAAAAGCAUCGGCUAACUCCGUGCCAGCAGCCGCGGUAAUACGGAGGAUGCGAGCGUUAUCCGGAUUUAUUGGGUUUAAAGGGUGCGUAGGCGGUCCGGAAAGUCAGCGGUAAAAGCCCGGGGCUCAACCCCGGCGAGCCGUUGAAACUGUUGGAAGAGAGAGGGGGAGAGGGAGGCGGAAUGGGGGGUGUAGCGGGGAAAUGCAUAGA